rnacentral:rRNA from 1 species
AUUGAACGCUGGCGGCAUGCCUUACACAUGCAAGUCGAACGGCAGCACGGGAGCAAUCCUGGUGGCGAGUGGCGAACGGGUGAGUAAUGUAUCGGAACGUACCUUUCAGUGGGGGAUAACGUAGCGAAAGUUACGCUAAUACCGCAUAUUCUGUGAGCAGGAAAGCAGGGGAUCGCAAGACCUUGCGCUGAUUGAGCGGCCGAUAUCAGAUUAGCUAGUUGGUGAGGUAAAGGCUCACCAAGGCGACGAUCUGUAGCGGGUCUGAGAGGAUGAUCCGCCACACUGGAACUGAGACACGGUCCAGACUCCUACGGGAGGCAGCAGUGGGGAAUUUUGGACAAUGGGCGCAAGCCUGAUCCAGCCAUGCCGCGUGAGUGAGGAAGGCC